rnacentral:rRNA from 1 species
AUGCACUUUCUUCCCCGUCUUCCACUCUUCUUCCUCAUCUCUUCUUCCUCCUCCUCUCUUCUUCUUCCUCCUCUCUUCCCCAUCGUCGGCCGCACACCAUUUACCCCCGCUCACUACUCGCUCGCCCGCGCCAUCUUCCUUGCAGACACAAAUGCGCUGGCCUUCAUGAUUCCAGGACCUAGAAUCAUACCAGCCGAUGGGUGGUGGUUUAUCGCUCGUUCAGCUGACGGUGGUCAUUUGAUGCUCAUUGGCACUUUGAAGCACUCCUCUGGUUUGAAGGAUAGAUACCUUCCCGGGAACAAGUGCAUCCCAACUCACCUGUUACCAUAUAACUGGAAUUACCGAUGCAAGUCGAAGAAGGAUUGGCCGGUGCUGCCGGCUGGCGCCAAGUUCGAUCCCACGGAUCAGGAGCUGAUCGAGCACCUUGAGGCCAAAGUGAGUGCUGACAGCGCGAGAUUUCAGUCUCUCAUCGAUUUGUUCAUACCAACCAUCGACAGCGAGCACGGCAUAUGCUACACCCAACCUGAGAAACUUCCAGCAAAAAAGGUUCUGGUGCUGCACACCAACAAGAACUUCGACCAGCAAAGGACCAACUGGGUGAUGCACCAGUACCACCUCGGGGACCUGGAGCAAGAGAAGGAGCGGGAGCUGGUCCUCUACAAGAUUUUCUACCAGAUGAACACUAGGACCAGGAGUAAAAAGAUUAUAAGUUAG